UGCUUGAGUACUUGGUGGGAUGAUUGU
rnacentral:sRNA from 1 species